rnacentral:lncRNA from 1 species
ACUCCUGGCCUCAUGUGAUCCUCUCGCCUUGGCCUCCCCAAAGUGUUGGGACUACAGGUGUGAACCACUGUGCCCUGUCUUAUUGAGGGAGUUUAAAGCCUGGUGCUUGAAUGCUGUCAAUAACUGAGAGAUGGGAUCUUGCUAUUAUUGUCCAGGCUGGUCUUGAACUGCUGGUCUCAGGCAAUCCUCCUGCCUCAGCCUCUCAAAAGCACUGGGAUUAUAGGUGUGAGCCACUGGGCCUGGCCAUAUUUGCACAUUUUUAAAGUUUCAAAAGAUAUGUAUCAAUUUAUACACUAGUAUCUUGGUGUUUGGAGGUUACAAGUUAUUCUCUAUUUUCUUUUCUUUUUUUUUGUAUAUUUUCUGAUUCCUUUAUGGUUAAUGUGAAUUAGUCAUGUAAUUACAAGCCAUUUUAAUUUGCAUUAAAUUACUAGUAACACAUUUUAGGCUUUGGGAAUUCAAAAAAUGAAUAAGAGAAGGAGAAACAACAUUUAUUGAAUUUUUUUUAACAUUUUAGGCAAUGAGCUGAAUCCUUUGUAUAAUUUAAUUCAUUUAAUUUUUACCAUAAUUGCAUGGGAUAUUAUGUUUCCAGUUUACAGAUAAGGGAACUGAGGCUCAUAGAAGAUUAGAAACUAGCCUAAGAUUGUACAUUCAGUGGGAUUUGAAACCAGAUCUGACGCCAAAGAACUUAUCGAUAUUCAUACAGGUUUAAAAUUUUUCCAUGACACCACAGGAGCUUGCAGUAUUAGAGGGGCUCAGAACCCACAAACCCAAAGACUUCAGGUCCAGGCAGACCCAGAUCAGUGGCUCAUGAGUGAGACAAACAUAGGGUCAUGGAGAUGCAUAGAGGGGAGAUCUGGCUGCAUAAUCAGGGAGUGAGAUCUGAUGUGAACUUGAUGUCAGAUUUCAGGAAUCAGCAAUUGAGGCUAGAGCUUUUCCCGAAGGCCAAAGAAUGUGGGUGCAGUGGCAAGGAGGAAGAGUAGGGACAGAUGGGUUGUCUGGAGUAGACGUGGGGAAGUUUCUGACACAGGCAGUACUGGACAAGGUUGUCUGCACGAGGUUUGUUGAUUCAUAUUUCACGGUUAAUCUCUUUGCAUUUAUUUAUUUUAUAGCAUUACCACUUUUGUGUCAUUGAUUUUCACUUCUGAGUUUGCCUAUUUGUUUGAAAUCUCUUCAUCUCAUUUCUAUUAGUUUUUAUACUCCAUUGAGCACUUCUCAGUGAGUGAGCAUUUUCACUUCACACUCAUCAAAGAGCCAAAUGAGGAGAGGAGACACCCUAACUGCAGGGAUUAGGUAGUAGGCUUCAGAGGCAGUGACCAAGCAGGAUCCCUGGUAGGCCACUCCCUCUCCUCUGCUACCUGGAAGCAGAACAAGGCUGGAUCUCACCCUUCUGCUACCUGCAUUUAACUAACUAGGAAGUCAUAUGGGUUAUAUUUUAAAAUAUAUUUUAAAAAUAUGUAUCUGACAAAUGCAUUUCAUGAUCCUAGAUUGGAUUCUGGGUUGGAAAAAAUUACUAUAAAGUACAUUGGCAAAAUUUGAAUGUAGGCUAUAUAUUGUAUAAUAGUUUGUUAUCAAUGCUAAAUUUUCCAAAUUUGUUAAUUAUACUGUAGUUAUAUAAAAAGAUCCUUGUUCUUAAAAGACAGAUGCUGAAGUAUUUGGGGUUAAGGAGCAUGAUGUCAGCAACCUAUUCUUAAAUGGCUAGGCAAAACCAAUAAUAAUGUGUGCAUGUGUGCAGAUUAUCUAUUUAUCUAUCUAUCCAUCUAUCCAACUAUCUAGAGAGAAAUAAAACAAAUGAGGCAAAAUAUUAACGACUGGUAAAUCUAGGUUAAAGGUAUGUAAAUGUUCAUUGUAUUCUUGCAGCUUUUAUGAAAGUUUUUUUUUUUUUUAAAAAGGUUAACAAUUUCUCUUGAAGACUUCUGCUUCUGGCCAAAGUGGAGUAAUAGGUUCAGAUUUGCCCUCUUGCCUGAAACAAUAACAACAACAACAACAAACACAAUAAAGAUAUAUGAAGGAAUGGUUUUCAAGACAUGGACAUCAGGUGACAAAUGACAGUGAUUCCUGGGAGUUGAGGAGAGUUUUACAAUUGCUCCAGCUUACAGCCCUGAAGAAGUUCCUAGGGCACAGUUCAGGAAGGUGGAACCCAGAUGGAGCCUGGAAAAUGCUCUGAGUUGAGGAAACAGAGAUAAGAGUAUGGGGAGACCAAAGCAACUAGAGUUUGCAGGAUAGAUGAUGGAGAGGAGAGAGGUGCACAGAGAGAGCCCAGGAGAUCCUCAGGGGUCUCCUCAAGAUCGGUUCAACUAAGUACCAAUCAGCACAUGUGUGUGAGGAAACCAUCUGCGAGGAUUAGAAGCAGCGCUGCUCAGUGCUCACUCAGGGCUGAGAACAGUGCCAGUUCCCACCUGCCAGAUUGGAAAGUCCCAUGAUUCCUGGGGCACUCAGUAGUUUGUACAGAAGGUCCUUGCCUCAGAAGUGGGCAAUAAAUAACCCUAGACUGAGCACUUCUCAGCACCCUUGAAAAAAAAAAUCAUAAAAUCAAAACCUGAGGAUCCAACUGUUUCCAAGUAGUUUAACUUAUCCCAGAGCAAAGUUCAAAAAUAUAUAUAGGAAUCCAAAAAUAUUUAACACCCAGCAAAGUACAUUUACAAUGUCUAGUAUCUAAGCAAAAAUUACCAGGUAUGAGAAGAAGUAGAAAAAUAUGACCCAUAUUAAAAAGGAGCCUAGGCUUUUCCCCUCACUCAGCUGUGAUGAGGCACCCCAACCCUUCCUUGCUGGGGUGAUGUGCCCUGUAAUGACCUUCUCCUCAGUGAUUAUGUCAGUGAAGGCCAUGUGGGGACCUGGAACUCUCACCCUCACCAGCUGUAAUGAGACACUCUACCCCAGUGGAGUGUCCACAGAGGCCAAGUGAGGACUGUGGACUUACACAACCACCUGGCAAUUAUGAAGCAGCAGUCCCCUUUCCUGACUGGCACAGUGUCAGACAGGGCCUGCUAAAACAGAAAAUUUAAAUAAGAUAUAAUGUCUUAUAUAAUUCCCCCAAAGCCCAGGAAUUAAUAGAAAAUCACUCAUCAUGUCAAGAACCAGGAAAAUCUCAACUUGAAUGAGAAAAGACAACAAAUGCCAAUGUUGAGAUGACACAGAUGUUGACAAAAAUUUUAAAGAAACCAUUAUAAAAAUGCUUCAAUGAGUAGUUAUAAACAUGCUUAAAACAAAUUUAAAAAUAGAAUGUCUCAGCAGGAAAACACAAGACAUAAAGAGGAGCCAAAUAGGCUGGGUGCGGUGGUUCACCCCAUUAAUACCAGCACUUUGGGGUGCUGAGGUAAGAGGAUCGCUUGAGCCCAGGAGUUUGAGACCAGCCUGGGAAACAUGACAAAUUCCUGUCUCUACAAAAAACACAAAAAGAGCUGGUGUGGUGGUGCGUGCCUAUAGUCCCAGCUAACUCAGGAGGAUGAGGUGGGAGGUUGGCUUGAGUCCAGAUGGCAGAGGUUGCGGUGAGCUGUGAUUGCAUAAUUCAAGAAGCUAAUGAACCUCAAACAGAAUAAACUGAAAAGAAAUCCAUGACAAAGCACAUCAUAAUCAAACUUCUGUAAAACUAAGACAAGACAGAAUGAGAGAAAUGACACCUUGCACAGAGAGGGAAAAUAAUUUGAAUGACAGAAAUUUUUCAUCAGAAACUGUGGAGGCCAGAGGGAGGCAUCACACAUUUUUCAAGUCCUGAAUGAAAAGAACUGUCAGCCCAGAAUCCUAAUUCAGUGAAAAUGUCAUUCAGGAAUAAAAGGGAGAUUGCCUAGCUAUAUUAAAACAUUAUAAUUUAGCCUAAUGUAAUUUUCUAGGCAGUUUCAGUCAGUUUUUUGCUACUCUCUGAUGUUCAAGAUAGAAAAAGUUAUUUUACAAGCAAGCUGAAUACAAAAUAAUGGAAAUAGUUUGUAAAACCAGUAUAUAUUAUAUGCCUAUAUUGCACAUGUUAAAGCACUCCAUUAUAAUACAGUAUGUAAUCUACUGUUUUUGAACGGUUUUGUUCAGCAUUUGGCUAUUUAAAAAAUAUUUAUAAAGAGAUUUAUUUCUUUCAGUUCUGGAGGCAGGAAAGUCCAAGGUUGAGGGGUUCACAUCUGGUGAGGGCCUUCUUGCUGUGUCAUCCCAUGGCAGAAGGUGGAAAGGUAAGAGGGCAUGUGUGUAUAUGUGUGACGGGGUGGAAAAGAGCGAGAAGGAGAAAAAGAGAGAGAGAAGUAAGAAGAUCAAAAUCACCCUUUUAUCAGGAACCCUGUUUUAUCUGGGAAACAUAACAGCAUUAAUCCGUUCAUGAAGGCAGAGGCCUCAUGACCAAACCACCUCUUAAAGGUCCUACCUUUCAACAUGGUUGCACUGUGAAUUAAGUUUCCAAGAAUAUUUGGCUCUUAAGUACAUUUUUGUUGUUGUUUCCAUUUAGAAUUUCUUUUCUAGAGCUUGCUUUAAUUUUAUUCAUUCAAAACUUUGCACUUGCUUUCUUUUCCUAUAUUUAUUUCCUUUUUAGGUUAUGAAGCUUUUUGAGGUGGAACCAAGCACAAUUCUUGGAUCUAAAUAAGCAUUUGAUUUAAGUUAUCUUUGAGCUUUUAAUAACUUAAUGAACAUUCUAUGCUAUUCUAUGGGAAAUGCUUGAGUUUUUCAUUUGCUUAUAUUUUCUUUAUCAAUUUUGUGUCUUUUGGGUAAGUAAAGGACAUAAAGUAUGGAAUACCUUAAUAAGACAGUGAAUUAAAUCUAUUCCCCUGAUUUAACUACGAAAAAAGUCAAUAAUAAGAAAACAAUCUCCCCUUCCCCAAAUAGGACAACUAUUUGAACAACUAUUCAACCAAAGACAAUAUAUGGAUUGGAGACAAGAGGAUGCUCAACAUCAUUCAUUAGGGAAAUACAAACUAAAACCACAAUGAAAUAUUACUGGUUACCUAUUAGAAUGAUUAAAAUUAAAAAUACUGACCAUAUCGGCCAGGCAUGGUGGCUCACGCCUGUAAUCCCAGCACUCUGGGAGGCUGAGGCAGGCAGAUCACCAGGUCAGGAGAUCGAGACUAUCCUGGCUAACACGGUGAAACCCCGU